rnacentral:rRNA from 1 species
UACGUAGGGUGCGAGCGUUAAUCGGAAUUACUGGGCGUAAAGCGUGCGCAGGCGGUUUCACAAGCUCGAUGUGAAAGCCCCGGGCUUAACCUGGGAAUGGCAUUGAGGACUGUGGAGCUCGAGUGCGGCAGAGGGAGGUGGAAUUCCACGUGUAGCAGUGAAAUGCGUAGAGAUGUGAAGGAACACCGAUGGCGAAGGCAGGUCUCUGGGCCGAUACUGACGCUGAGGAGCGAAAGCGUGGGGAGCGAACAGG